ACAAGAACAUGAUGAGAGUAAUAUGCGGAUGAUGGCUACUGUUAGUAGUUCAUGGGAUCAAAAUCGCUACGUUCUUUCUGAUUCUUCU